rnacentral:pre_miRNA from 1 species
ACAACAUUCGGACCGUCGGUCUACCGAGCAAUAUCACCCGCUCGGUGGAAGAUCUUCCUUUCGUUAA